GGGACAUUAGUAAACCCCAUUACAUAGUCUUGUCAAGACUAAAUCACAGAUGAAACCUCUGUAUGCCCCA
rnacentral:tRNA from 1 species